rnacentral:rRNA from 1 species
CCUACGGGAGGCAGCAGUAAGGAAUAUUGGUCAAUGGAGGCAACUCUGAACCAGCCAUGCCGCGUGCAGGAUGAAGGCCCUAUGGGUCGUAAACUGCUUUUGUACCAGAGAAAACCCGAGUACGUGUACUCGGUUGAUAGUAUGGUAAGAAUAAGCAUCGGCUAACUUCGUGCCAGCAGCCGCGGUAAGACGAAGGAUGCAAGCGUUAUCCGGAUUCAUUGGGUUUAAAGGGUGCGUAGGCGGACUGAUAAGUCAGUGGUGAAAUCUCUCGGCUUAACCGAGAAACUGCCAUUGAUACUGUCAGUCUAGAGUACAGAUGAUGUGGGCGGAAUAUGACAUGUAGCGGUGAAAUGCUUAGAUAUGUCAUAGAACACCGAUUGCGAAGGCAGCUCACAAAACUGUAACUGACGCUGAGCACGAAGUAGNGGGAGUACAACAGAUAGAUACCUCGUAGUCGCACCGUAACG